rnacentral:tRNA from 1 species
GCUAAUGUAAUUUAUAUAAAAUCUUGAUUUUGUAAGUCAAUAAAGGAAAUUCCCAUUAGCU